rnacentral:rRNA from 1 species
CCGACGCCCGCUACAGAAACUACAAAUGAAGUUCGACGGGGCCCGCACAAGCGGAGGAGCAUGUGGUUUAAUUCGAUGAUACGCGAGGACCUUACCUGGGCUCGAACGUAAGAUGACUGUAGGUGAAAGCUUACAUCUCUUCGGAGCAUUUUACGAGGUGCUGCAUGGUUGUCGUCAGCUCGUGCCGUGAGGUGUCGGGUUAAGUCCCAUAACGAGCGCAACCCUACCUUUAGUUGCCAUCAGGUAAUGCUGGGGACUCUAAAGGAACUGCCUACGCAAGUAGUGAGGAAGGCGGGGAUGACGUCAAAUCAGCACGGCCCUUACGUCCAGGGCUACACACGUGCUACAAUGACCGAUACAGAGGGCAGCUACCUGGUGACAGGAUGCAAAUCUCCAAAGUCGGUCUCAGUUCGGAUCGGAGUCUGCAACCCGACUCCGUGAAGUUGGAUUCGCUAGUAAUCGCGCAUCAGCCAUGGCGCGGUGAAUACGUUCCCGGGCCUU